AUUGAACGCUGGCGGCAUGCUUUACACAUGCAAGUCGGACGAGCGGCGGACGGGUGAGUAAUGUAUGGGGAGUGCCCGGUAAUGGGGGAUAACCACUGGAAAGAUUGGCUAAUACCGCAUAUUAUCCGAUACCCCAUAUGGGAUUAGCUAGUAGGUGGGGUAAAGGCUUACCUAGGCGACGAUCACUAGCGGGUCUGAGAGGAUGAUCAGCCACACUGGGACUGAGACACGGCCCAGACGCCUACGGAGGCAGCAGUGGGGAAUUUUGGACAAUGGGCGCAAGCCUGAUGCAGCCAUGCCGCGUGUAUGAAGAAGGCCUUAGGGUUGUAAAGUACUUUCAGCAGGGAAGCGUUACCCACAGAAGAAGCACCGGCUAACUACGUGCCAGCAGCCGCGGUAAUAC
rnacentral:rRNA from 1 species